rnacentral:rRNA from 1 species
GUCGGUGGUUGAUGGCGGCGGGGAAACGCCCGGUCCCAUUCCGAACCCGGAAGCUAAGCCCGCCCGCGCCGAUGGUCCUGCCCCCGGGGGGGAGGGGGAGAGUAGGUUCCCGCCGACC